GCCUACGGGGGGCAGCAGUGAGGAAUAUUGGUCAAUGGUCGGGAGACUGAACCAGCCAAGCCGCGUGAGGGAGGAAGGUACAGAGUAUCGUAAACCUCUUUUGUCAGGGAACAAAGGCGGGGACGUGUCCCCGGAUGAGUGUACCUGAAGAAAAAGCAUCGGCUAACUCCGUGCCAGCAGCCGCGGUAAUACGGAGGAUGCGAGCGUUAUCCGGAUUUAUUGGGUUUAAAGGGUGCGCAGGCGGCCUGUUAAGUCAGCGGUAAAAACCCGGGGCUCAACCCCGGCGAGCCGUGGAAACUGGCGGG
rnacentral:rRNA from 1 species